rnacentral:misc_RNA from 1 species
GUAGGUGAACCUGCGGAAGGAUCAUUAACACGUAUCCACGUAUCAACACUCUGUGAACUUACUCUCCCUACUUAGAACAGCUGUGACGCAUAGUUAGUGAUGGGUGUACUAGUCUUAACAAGCUAGUACGCGGCUAUGGUUACUAGGGUCUCGAACCCAGUGCUUUCUUCGUAGGCUAAACUUUUCCAUCACUGUUUCACAAACCAUUUUCACUCCAAACUCAUCUUGACUGAUGUACUUAUGUAAGAGA